rnacentral:rRNA from 1 species
UGAGCAAUCUGCCCUUCUCUUCGGAAUAAGCGUUGGAAACGACGUCUAAUGCCGAAUACGACCUCCUUUCGCAUGAUCGGAGGUGGAAAGCUCCGGCGGAGAAGGAUGAGCUCGCGGCCUAUCAGCUAGUUGGUGUGGGUAAUGGCCCACAAGGCGACGACGGGUAGCCGGCCUGAGGAGGGUGACCGGCCACACGUGGGACUGAGAUACCGGCCCAGACCUCCGUACGGGGA